GACGAACGCUGGCGGCGUGCCUAAUACAUGCAAGUAGAACGCAGUUGCGAACGGGUGAGUAACGCGUAGGUAACUGCCUGGUAGCGGGGGAUAACUAUUGGAAACGAUAGCUAAUACCGCAUACUAACAGAUGGACCUGCGUUGUUUGAGUUAGUUGGUGGGGUAACGGCCCACCAAGGAGACGAUCUGUAGCGGGUCUGAGAGGAUGAUCAGCCACACUGGUACUGAGACACGGCCCAGACUCCUACGGGAGGCAGCAGUGGGGAAUUUUGGACAAUGGGCGCAAGCCUGAUCCAGCCAUGCCGCGUGUCUGAAGAAGGCCUUCGGGUUGGAAAGUACUUUCGGUGACGAGGCGUUACUCACAGAAGAAGCACCGGCUAACUCCGUGCCAGCAGCCGCGGUAAUAC
rnacentral:rRNA from 1 species